rnacentral:rRNA from 1 species
GAUGAACGCUGGCGGCGCGCCUAACACAUGCAAGUCGAACGGCACCUGCCUUCGGGCAGAAGCGAGUGGCGAACGGCUGAGUAACACGUGGAGAACCUGCCCCCUCCCCGGGACUAGCCGCCCGAAAGGACGGGUAAUACCGGAUACCCGGGUGCCGCAUGGCACCCCGGCUAAAGCCCAGGCGGGAGGGGAUGGCUCCGCGGCCCAUCAGGUAGACGGCGGGGUGACGGCCCACCGUGCCGA